AUAAAGGUCAAACGCACGUACAAAUUCCAUUAUCGAUUUCUUCGAAUUUCUUUUUCUUUUAUGCUUUAUGGCAGAAAAUAAAUCAAACAAACAGUAUUUUGAAAGGGCUUUAUCAAAAUCUUUGACGAAUUUUGGACACACACGACGCUGAAAGAACAGCCAAACUAGUCAUGUAUUCGAAAGCUUGUUGUUGACAGCCAAGAUGUUUU